rnacentral:rRNA from 1 species
CCCGCUGCCCCCUGACUAUAUUUUCAACGGCCGCGGUAUUCUGACCGUGCGAAGGUAGCGCAAUCACUUGUCUCUUAAAUGGAGACCUGUAUGAAAGGCAUCACGAGGGCUUAGCUGUCUCCCCUUUAAGGUCAAUGAAAUUGAUCUCCCCGUGCAGAAGCGGGGAUACACUCGUAAGACGAGAAGACCCUAUGGAGCUUAAGACAUAAGACGACCCAUGUCAAAACCCCCUCUAAAAGGAAAUGAACAGAAUGAACUUCGCCGAAAUGUCUUCGGUUGGGGCGACCGCGGGGAAAGACCAAACCCCCACAUGGAUCAGGGCCACAAUAGCCUUAAAACCCAGACCCCCGAGUCAAAUCAACAGUAUUUCUGACCACCAAAGAGCCGGCAAUGCCGAUCAACGGACCGAGUUACCCUAGGGAUAACAGCGCAAUCCCCUCCCAGAGCCCUUAUCGACGAGGGGGUUUACGACCUCGAUGUUGGAUCAGGACAUCCUAAUGGUGCAGCCGCUAUUAAGGGUU